AAGAGAACCCCUACCACUCCUACGCCUCCCCAGAAACCCGGGGAGCAGGAGCAGGAGCAGAAGCACACUCGGGCCAGAGGGCGCGCGGCCGAGCCGGAGCCACGUUUCUCCGCGCCAGCGUGGUUAGCGCUUCCCGGCGGCGAGCUCCCUCGGAAACUGCGCACGUGUGGGCAGCCUUGGCCGCCGCCCUGCACGGACCAGAGGACACCUCUCGCCGCGGCUCGGACAGGGGGCGCGCCGGCGGGAGCCACGAAGAGCUGGGACCCCCCGAGCGCUACGGUCGCGUGGGCAGACGUGUAUCCUGUUAUGCACGGCAUGUCUCUCCUGACCUCUAAUCACACGUGCGUCUCAGGGGUGGACCUCAGUUUCAGCUGCUGUUGGAGAACACUUGCAGACCAAUUGUGAACUUACAGAUAAGGAAACUGAGGCUCCGAGAAAUCAAGAAACACGAACGAUGGCAUCUAUGAAGUCUGGCUCUGGAGCUCAAGCUCCAGAUGACUGCCCUGAAUUGCCUCACCUUUACAAGAGAGAAGCUCUCCAGGCCAGAGGCUGCUUGCUUGAGGCUGUGUCCCGGAGGACGAUUUGAGACCCCAAAGCACCCUCGAGCUGCAAUUCUGCGCCAGGGCUUGAAGCUUCCAGACUAAGUCUUGCUUCUUGUUCAAUUAAAAAAACAAACCGGGGCGCCUGGGUGGCUCAGUCGGUUAAGCGUCCGAUUUCAGCCCGGGUCAUGAU